rnacentral:rRNA from 1 species
AAUGAACGUUGGCGGCGUGGAUUAGGCAUGCAAGUCGAGCGAGAAGAGUUUGGUAGCUUGCUAUUGAACUCGGAAAGCGGCGAAAGGGAGAGUAACGCGUAGUUACGUGCCCAGGGGUUCAGAAUAGCCACGGGAAACUGUGGGUAAUGCCGAAUAACAUCUCCGGAUCAAAGGUGUGAUUCCGCCCCUGGAGCGGACUGCGUCCUACUAGCUAGUUGGCGGGGUAAUGGCCCACCAAGGCAACAAUGGGUAGCGGGUGUGAGAGCAUGACCCGUCUCACUGGGACUGAGACACUGCCCAGACACCUACGGGUGGCUGCAGUCGAGAAUCUUCGGCAAUGGGCGAAAGCCUGACCGAGCGACGCCGCGUGCGGGAUGAAGGCCCUCGGGUUGUAAACCGCUGUCGUAGGGGAGGAAGGCUCCGUGAAGAACGGGGUUUGACCUAUCCUAGGAGGAAGUACGGGCUAAGUUCGUGCCAGCAGCCGCGGUAAAAC